UACAGAGGUCCCAAGCGUUGUUCGGAUUCACUGGGCGUAAAGGGUGCGUAGGCGGUCGGGUAAGUCUGAUGUGAAAUCUCACAGCUUAACUGUGAAACUGCAUUGGAUACUAUUCGGCUAGAGAGUUGGAGGGGGGACUGGAAUUCUUGGUGUAGCAGUGAAAUGCGUAGAUAUCAAGAGGAACACCAGUGGCGAAGGCGAGUCCCUGGACAACUUCUGACGCUGAGGCACGAAAGCUAAGGGAGCAAACAGG
rnacentral:rRNA from 1 species